UAGGGAAUCUUCCGCAAUGGACGAAAGUCUGACGGAGCAACGCCGCGUGAGUGAAGAAGGAUUUCGGUUCGUAACACUCUGUUGUUAGGGAAGAAAAAAUGUAUAGUAACUAUAUACAAAAGAGACGGUACCUAACCAGAAAGCCACGGCUAACUACGUGCCAGCAGCCGCGGUAAUACGUAGGUGGCAAGCGUUUUCCGGAAUUAUUGGGCGUAAAGCGCGCGCAGGUGGUUCAGAAAGUCUGAUGUGAAAGCCCACGGCUCAACCGUGGAGAGUCAUUGUAAACUAAUAAACUUGAGUGAAGGAGAGAAAAGUGGAAUUCCUAGUGUAGCGGUGAAAUGCGUAGAGACUAGGAGGAACACCGGUGGCGAGAGCGGCUUUUUGGCCUGCAACUGACACUGAGGCGCGAAAGCGUGGGGAGCAAACAGG
rnacentral:rRNA from 1 species